rnacentral:rRNA from 1 species
GACGAACCGUGCAAACGUUAUUCGGAAUCACUGGGCAUAAAGGGCGCGUAGGCGGCUCCAAAAGUCAGGGGUGAAAUCCGGCAGCUUAACUGUCGCAGUGCCUUUGAUACUGUGGAGCUAGAGGGAGGUAGGGGUCUGUGGAACUUCCGGUGGAGCGGUGAAAUGACGUUGAUAUCGGAGGAAGCGCCGGUGGCGAAAGCGACGGACUGGAUCUCUUCUGACGCUGAGGCGCGAAAGCCAGGGGGAGCAAACGGGG